GUGCCUGUAGCUCAGUUGGAUAGAGCAACGGACUUCUAAUCCGUAGGUCGCAGGUUCGAAUCCUGCCAGGCACG
rnacentral:tRNA from 1 species